rnacentral:rRNA from 1 species
CCUACGGGUGGCAGCAGUGGGGAAUAUUGCACAAUGGGGGAAACCCUGAUGCAGCGACGCCGCGUGAGUGAAGAAGUAUUUCGGUAUGUAAAGCUCUGUCAGCAGGGAAGAAAAUGCCGGUACCUGACCAAGAAGCCCCGGCUAACUACGUGCCAGCAGCCGCGGUAAUACGUAGGGGGCAAGCGUUAUCCGGAUUUUCUGGGGGUAAAGGGAGCGUAGACGGCAGGGCAAGUCUGGAGUGAAAGGCUGGGGCUCAACCCCCGGACUGCGGUGGAAACUGCCUGGCUGGAGUGCAGGAGAGGUAAGUGGAAUUCCUAGUGUAGCGGUGAAAUGCGUAGAUAUUAGGAGGAACACCAGUGGCGAAGGCGGCUUACUGGACUGUAACUGACGUUGAGGCUCGAAAGCGUGGGGAGCAAACAGGAUUAGAUACCCGGGUAGUC